UUGCCCCUUUCAUUUGUUGAAUUUUCCAAGCCAUCUCAUGUAUUGAUUUUCUUAGUACUUAUAAUUUUGGACUAUUUUUUAAUUUCAUGGCCCAAAUUUGCCUGUCAUAUUAAAGUGUUCAUCACAUGGCCGCUACCUCUGUUUGGAGCAGAAAGAGCAAAGCAUGUCUCCGUCAUUUUACACUCUUCCUCUCUUUGGCGGGGAUGAUGACCUAGACGACAGUGAGAUCGCCAGCUUUAUUAACAGUGAGACCCAUUACCACUUCUAUUUCGAAUCAAAACCCAUGGAAGAUGAGGUCCAAGAAAGAUCUUGACCGAAGAUCUGCAUCAUCAUGGCUUUAGGAUCCCGAUUGAAGAUGGGGUACAAGGAAGAUCUCCCUUGAAGAUGAACUCUUCCGACAGUUUCACCAACAGAAUCGCACGAGAACAACAUAAAUUGAGGGAUGAUACAUGGAUGGAGCAAACAAAACUGAUUUUCUUCUAUCAAGGAAAACUUUUAGCUAAAAGUGCAACCAAAAUAAAGCACGGGUUUACAAAAUUUCUGCCAUGAUUUUUCUUCUUCUUCUUCUAAAAAUUCCCACUUCCUCAAGCUUAUAGAUUGAAUCUAGUUCACCUCAUUAUUGAUUUGGAACAUAUGAUAUUGAGAAGGAAAUGACUGUGAUAGAAACCUUGGCAUUUUCAACGAUUUCUUUUAGAACCUUGGGCAAGUCUGGUUUGCUGCUCUGUUGAGUGAAAAGAGUACAUACUGUAGCUGUGUAUAUGCUGCUGCAAUCUGUGUAUAUGUUGUGGGUUGAUGGGUUUUACCUUA